rnacentral:rRNA from 1 species
UAGUCCAUGCCGUAAACGAUGUGUGCUAGACGUUGGAAAUAUAUUUUUCAGUGUCGCAGCGAAAGCAUUAAGCACACCGCCUGGGGAGUACGACCGCAAGGUUAAAACUCAAAUGAAUUGACGGGGGACCCGCACAAGCAGUGGAGCAUGUGGUUUAAUUCGAAGAUACGCGCAGAACCUUACCAACACUUGACAUGUUCGUCGCGAGACUAAGAGAUUAGUCUUUUCAGUUCGGCUGGACGAAACACAGGUGCUGCAUGGCUGUCGUCAGCUCGUGUCGUGAGAUGUUGGGGUAAGUCCCGCAACGAGCGCAACCCCUACUUUUAGUUGCCACCAUUUAAGUUGGGCACUUUAAAAGAACUGCCAGUGAUAAGCUGGAGGAAGGUGGGGAUGACGUCAAGUCCUCAUGGCCCUUAUGUGUUGGGCUACACACGUGCUACAAUGGUACUUACAAUGGAUAGCAAAGAGUGACUAGUUACUAGACUACUAACUCGUAAACUGUAACUUCG